rnacentral:rRNA from 1 species
AUUGAACGCUGGCGGCAGGCCUAACACAUGCAAGUCGAGCGGAUGAGGAGAGCUUGCUCUCUGAUUUAGCGGCGGACGGGUGAGUAAUGCCUAGGAAUCUGCCAGGUAGUGGGGGAUAACGUCCGGAAACGGGCGCUAAUACCGCAUACGUCCUACGGGAGAAAGCAGGGGACCUUCGGGCCUUGCGCUAGCAGAUGAGCCUAGGUCGGAUUAGCUAGUUGGUGAGGUAAUGGCUCACCAAGGCUACGAUCCGUAACUGGUCUGAGAGGAUGAUCAGUCACACUGGAACUGAGACACGGUCCAGACUCCUACGGGAGGCAGCAGUGGGGAAUAUUGGACAAUGGGCGAAAGCCUGAUCCAGCCAUGCCGCGUGUGUGAAGAAGGUCUUCGGAUUGUAAAGCACUUUAAGUUGGGAGGAAGGGCAGUAAGUUAAUACCUUGCUGUUUUGACGUUACCGACAGAAUAAGCACCGGCUAACUUCGUGCCAGCAGCCGCCGUAACAC